AUGUGCGCAGGCAUGAUAGAUCUGAAGAAGGCGAUGACAAGUAUCACGGAGCUGGAGGAAGAACUCAAGGCUACACGUGAAGAUUAUGAGGAGGAAAUCAUCAUACUAGUGGAGAAGAAUGACGACCUGAUUAAGAAGAUAAGAAUAUUCAUGGGAGACCCUACACCAGUAGAAGAAGACGAAGAACCCAAGGAGAUUCACCCGGAAGACUACAUCAUCAUCAACGACACCGACUCUGACCUGAGCGAUGAUGACUUUGAAGACGAAGCUAGAGCAGAUAUCAUGGAGUCUGCAACCGAGGAAUAUUUCUAG
rnacentral:rRNA from 1 species